rnacentral:rRNA from 1 species
GGAGUGGGUGUUUGGAAUAUACAAAGAAUUUGGAGGAAAGCAAUGAAGAAAAUUAGCGAAGGUAAAGAGGUGGAUGUUUCUAAUCAAAAAGGAAAUUCUGGAAGAAAGCCUAAGGACAUUAACCUAGAAAAAAUCCUAACGAUCCCAUUAAACAAAAGGUCUACCAUUAGGUCACUUGCCUGG